CAACAAUCAGCAACGGAUCUCAAGGCUCUCGCAUCGAUGAAGAACGCAGCGAAAUGCGAUAAGUAAUGUGAAUUGCAGAAUUCAGUGAAUCAUCGAAUCUUUGAACGCACCUUGCGCUCCUUGGUAUUCCGAGGAGCAUGCCUGUUUGAGUGUCAUUAA
rnacentral:rRNA from 1 species